rnacentral:rRNA from 1 species
CCUACGGGAGGCAGCAGUGAGGAAUAUUGGUCAAUGGGCGUAAGCCUGAACCAGCCAAGUCGCGUGAAGGAUGAAUGCCCUACGGAUCGUAAACUUCUUUUAUAAAGGAAUAAAGUGAGGCACGUGUGCCGUUUUGUAUGUACUUUAUGAAUAAGGAUCGGCUAACUCCGUGCCAGCAGCCGCGGUAAUACGGAGGAUCCGAGCGUUAUCCGGAUUUAUUGGGUUUAAAGGGUGCGUAGAUGGGUUGUUAAGUCAGCGGUGAAAGUCUGCGGCUCAACCGUAAAAUUGCAGUUGAUACUGGCAGUCUUGAGUAUAGUUGAGGUAGGCGGAAUGCGUGGUGUAGCGGUGAAAUGCUUAGAUAUCACGCAGAACCCCGAUUGCGAAGGCAGCUUACUAAGC